rnacentral:misc_RNA from 1 species
GAAGCAGAAGGCCUAGGAAUUAAUUUCUCAAACCAAGGUAAAUCCGCAUCAAAUUACAUGAUUCCAUUAAGUGGGGUACUUGAGUGGAAAAUCUAUGACAUUCAAGACACUUGAAAAGCUAAUUUUCCAUUGGAGAAUGCACAGAAUUAGCAAGAAUUGACAAUGCAGUAGAAAAGAGACGAAUAAUUGUACCCAUUAUCAUGCACAAAAACAGAAAACUCCUACCCACGUUUGAGACAUCACAUAAGAGGCAGUGUCCAUUAUACAGUAAACAUAACCAAGCAGACCCAUCUCAAGUAUAUAGCUUGAAAUUCAUUCAAAGACCAAAAUAAGUACUCAAAUUCCUAACAUUUUGGCUACCCAGAACGGCCAACAGACCCACCGACAUAAAGCAUGUUCAACUAUGUAAUUGUAAAGCAUGAACUAUUGAAUUAGACAAUUGAGAAUUAGGAUUUGGAUUAGGGUCUUGACCUGGUUUGAAAAGAAGAGCUAAU